rnacentral:rRNA from 1 species
AACGCGAUGAACCUUACCUACUCUUGACAUCCAGAGAACUUAGCAGAGAUGCUUUGGUGCCUUCGGGAACUCUGAGACAGGUGCUGCAUGGCUGUCGUCAGCUCGUGUUGUGAAAUGUUGGGUUAAGUCCCGCAACGAGCGCAACCCUUAUCCUUUGUUGCCAGCGGUUAGGCCGGGAACUCAAAGGAGACUGCCAGUGAUAAACUGGAGGAAGGUGGGGAUGACGUCAAGUCAUCAUGGCCCUUACGAGUAGGGCUACACACGUGCUACAAUGGCAUAUACAAAGAGAAGCGACCUCGCGAGAGCAAGCGGACCUCAUAAAGUAUGUCGUAGUCCGGAUUGGAGUCUGCAACUCGACUCCAUGAAGUCGGAAUCGCUAGUAAUCGUAGAUCAGAAUGCUACGGUGAAUACGUUCCCGGGUCUUGUACACACCG